UGGGGGAUAUUGCACAAUGGGCGAAAGCCUGAUGCAGCAACGCCGCGUGAGGGAAGACGGUUUUCGGAUUGUAAACCUCUGUUCUAAGUGACGAACAAAUGACGGUAGCUUAGGAGAAAGCCCCGGCUAACUACGUGCCAGCAGCCGCGGUAAUACGUAGGGGGCAAGCGUUGUCCGGAAUUACUGGGUGUAAAGGGAGCGCAGGCGGAGAAGCAAGUCAGUGGUGAAAACGAUGGGCUUAACUCAUCGACUGCCAUUGAAACUGUUUCCCUUGAGUGAAGUAGAGGCAGGCGGAAUUCCGAGUGUAGCGGUGAAAUGCGUAGAUAUUCGGAGGAACACCAGUGGCGAAGGCGGCCUGCUGGGCUUUAACUGACGCUGAGGCUCGAAAGUGUGGGGAGCAAACA
rnacentral:rRNA from 2 species